UACGUAGGGGGCAAGCGUUGUCCGGAAUCAUUGGGCGUAAAGAGCGUGUAGGCGAUCCGUUAAGUCGGCUGUGAAAGUCCAAGGCUCAACCUUGGGAUGCCGGUCGAUACUGCCGGACUAGAGUUCGGAAGAGGCGAGUGGAAUUCCCGGUGUAGCGGUGAAAUGCGCAGAUAUCGGGAGGAACACCUAUGGCGAAGGCAGCUCGCUGGGACGUUACUGACGCUGAGACGCGAAAGCGUGGGGAGCAAACGGG
rnacentral:rRNA from 1 species